GAUGAAUGCUGGCGGCGUGCCUAACACAUGCAAGUCAAGCGGCAGCGAGGGGUGCUUGCACCCUGUCGGCGAGCGGCGAACGGCUGAGUAACGCGUAGGAAUUUGCCCCAAAGUGAGGAAUAACUGCCCGAAAGGGUAGCUAAUGCCGCAUAUGGUCUUCGGAUUAAAGGAUUUAUCCGCUUUGGGAGAAGCCUGCGUUGGAUUAGGUUGUUGGUAGGGUAAUGGCCUACCAAGCCGACGAUCCAUAGCUGGUCUGAGAGGAUGAUCAGCCAGACUGGAACUGAGACACGGUCCAGACUCCUACGGGAGGCAGCAGUGAGGAAUCUUCCACAAUGGGCGAAAGCCUGAUGGAGCAACGCCGCGUGAAGGAUGAAGGCCUUCGGGUUGUAAACUUCUUUUAUGAGUGAAGAAUAUGACGGUAACUCAUGAAUAAGCACCGGCUAACUACGUG
rnacentral:rRNA from 1 species